UACGAAGGGGGCUAGCGUUGCUCGGAAUCACUGGGCGUAAAGGGUGCGUAGGCGGGUCUUUAAGUCAGGGGUGAAAUCCCGGGGCUCAACCCCGGAACUGCCUUUGAUACUGGUAGUCUCGAGUCCGGAAGAGGUGAGUGGAAUUCCGAGUGUAGAGGUGAAAUUCGUAGAUAUUCGCAAGAACACCAGUGGCGAAGGCGGCUCACUGGCCCGAUACUGACGCUGAGGCACGAAAGCGUGGGGAGCAAACAGG
rnacentral:rRNA from 1 species